CUCCGUAGGGUGAACCUGCGGAGGGAUCAUUACACAAAUAUGAAGGCGGGCUGGAACCUCUCGGGGUUACAGCCUUGCUGAAUUAUUCACCCUUGUCUUUUGCGUACUUCUUGUUUCCUUGGUGGGUUCGCCCACCACUAGGACAAACAUAAACCUUUUGUAAUUGCAAUCAGCGUCAGUAACAAAUUAAUAAUUACAACUUUCAACAACGGAUCUCUUGGUUCUGGCAUCGAUGAAGAACGCAGCGAAAUGCGAUAAGUAGUGUGAAUUGCAGAAUUCAGUGAAUCAUCGAAUCUUUGAACGCACAUUGCGCCCUUUGGUAUUCCAAAGGGCAUGCCUGUUCGAGCGUCAUUUGUACCCUCAAGCUUUGCUUGGUGUUGGGCGUCUUGUCUCUAGCUUUGCUGGAGACUCGCCUUAAAGUAAUUGGCAGCCGGCCUACUGGUUUCGGAGCGCAGCACAAGUCGCACUCUCUAUCAGCAAAGGUCUAGCAUCCAUUAAGCCUUUUUUCAACUUUGACCUCGGAUCAGGUAUGAUCCAUCAC
rnacentral:rRNA from 1 species